rnacentral:lncRNA from 1 species
GAGAAAAAAAUCUAUUUUAGAAACUUUUGAACUUAAUCCUAGAAUGCAAAAUGUUACACACACACACACACAUCAAACAUAUAAAUGUAAACGUUGCAUCUCAGCAAAUGUUUGCGUUAGGAUUACUUUUAUUUAAUUUAUUCAAUUUCCAACUUAAAUACGUGUUAUCUUCCUUUUGCUAGAUCAACUCUAUCUAAUUUUUCUGCACUUCGUUUGCGUUCUAUUCUUUGCGCGUCCAAUACGGGCGCCAUUGUAUACUCGGAUUUCUUUUUCUUUCGCGAUUGUAAGACAAUUACGUGAAGUUUCCAGAAUUCACGGCACGAUCGGCGGUAUUCCGAUGUAUGUACAUUGAAAACGCUCGCACAAUUUCCGGUCAAUGAAAUUCCAACCUUACGCAAGGAGAUCCCGCCGAGCAACGACGGACAAUAGGAAUUGAGCGGCGCGGGGUCAGAAGGGACGCUGAGGCAGGGAAAAAAAUCUGCGCUGCGAUUCAUUGACCGCCCCAACGAACCGUGAUAGCAUAUAUCGCAGUAUUACCCGCUUACGCGUCCAAUAUAAUUAUUUCAAAUCGAUGGAAUAAUUAUCGUGAGCGCAGCGCGGAGAACAGACGUGCAGGUAGCCGGCAAUAACGCAAUUAAAUCGCAGCCGUGUUAUCCGAUAUUUUGAACGGACACCGCUCAUUUCAUCGAUAUCGCGAUAGAUACUGCUAGAUAACAAGCUAAAGAAAAAGGGUCGAUACGCGCGAUCGAAUCGAAUCAAAUCGAUUCGGAUCGAAUCGAAGCCGCACCAGCUGAUUACAAUGGAAAAUAUAAUCACACCGCGCCGCUCGGUAUAAUCUACGGCAUUUAUGUGAUAUUAUGGUUUAACGCGAUCGUGUAAAAUAUACACGGGCGUUUUGCGCGAAUUGACAGACCGUUCAUAAGACACGAGCGAUUGAAUUAAGAUGCAGCAGUCUUUCUCUCACACAAACUUCUUAAAUUCGAAAUAGACGCUCGCGCGAUAAAAAGAUACAUCGCGCACGAUGUGGAGCAAUAUAUAGCGUGCGCGAAAUAAAUUUGCAAAAUAAUAGAAAUCAAAGAAAGCGAAAAUUAGAUGAAACCAAAGGGGAAUAAAGAGAAAUAUUCGCAGUUGAUUUUUGCCAUUCCCUGUUUCGCAGUAAUUCUGAAAUGAGAUUUUACUAGUGCGCGUUCAGCGAUUCCCGUUUGACAUUAACUGCAAUUAUAUGCACGCGUAAUAUAGUAACUAUAUAUUAAUGGGAACGUAAAAUUUCCCGGUGGCGCAAUAUCGAAUCUCGUUUGACGUAAAUAUAAUGUCAAAAGCUUCCCUGCCAGCGAAAUUACGUAUUUUAUUAACGAAAGUGGCGAUAUACGUUACGAAAUUUGCGAUCCAGUGCGGAAGGAAAGUUAUUAUUAUUAUUAUUAUUAAUUUCACAUACACGUACAUAUGGUUCAGCAGAUGAGUCCUACUAUCCAUAAUGUCAUCAGACUGAUGUUUCGUCACAACGAAACACAUUGUGACGUCGCAAUUACGAUUUAAUAAUAAGAGGACAUUUCCUCGACAAGAUCAGAUUUAACGUACCACAAUUAUGCACCGCGAAACAAUGCAACGUUAAUUACCACGUCGCGUCUCCUGAUAUUCACGACGUAGAGUAAUUCGCGCAAUUCUAACGUGAGACUGAAACGUACGUGUUUUUUCUUCAGAAAAAAAAAAAAAACAUUGCGUGCAUUUUCUCCUCGCUUCGGACACACGUUACGCGACUCGUUCCCGCAACAGAAGAGAAACUUCGUCCCUCUUUCCUGGAUUUCUCUCGCGGACGAGGGAUGCGAGAUGCGACGGCAAUAGAAGACGCGACGAGGAAGAGGACGCGGCGGGACGAGAUACGCGGCCGAGAGAUGCAAUAAGGAAAUGCGUAUCCUUCGUCUUCCCUUUAUGCGCCGGCAGGACCGUUCCCUUAUCCUCCUUCGGGCGGGCGUUUCUUCGCCGGAGAGGCACUAUCCGACGAAGACUCUCGAUUCACGUCGACGUUGGGCGCCGGGUAAUACGGAAUCGAUGUCUGUUUUAUGAAACGUUUUAUCUUGCCGCGCAGCCAGCUUUCCAAUAUUUCGCUCGACUCUCUCGCCUGCCUCGUUCACGACCUUUCCCUUCGAAACUAUCGUUCCCCAUCCUCACCGUUAUUCCCUCUCGCUUCAUCACGUCGGCUCGUUCCUUCCCGUACCGGCCGCGUUCCGCUUCGAUUAUCUUCCCGGGGAAUGAUACAUACUUUUUUAAGCCAGUACCGGUAGCAGAGGUGCACGUUCCCUCCGGUGUGUGCGCCGCCGGUUGUUGAGAUAGAUUUUUUAAAAAUUCAGAGCGCGGACGCGUCUCGGUAUCGCUAUAAUUUUUGAUGCUUCGAUCGAUCAAGCCGAAAAAAAAAAGGACAAAUAUUUUCCGCGUAGCUGCGCGACUGCGCUUUUGACCGCGCUGCCUUAAAAAUAAACGGGUAUGAAUACAGACUGUCGGGAGUUCGCGAGUGAGCGACGGUCGUUUAUUUUUUUUUCCCCCCUCCAACGCCAAUAGAUUUUAUCCGCGACGCGCGAUAUUGAGGGAGAAAAGAGAGAAACCGUGGAAUCAUUUGUAUUUAAGGAAUCUACCUGCGGUUAUUUCAUAUUUGGGUCGAGUAAUUUCGGAGCGCAGUCAAAUUCAUUUCCAAUAUUCCACCCCUAAUCCGCGGUCUCGUGCGCCACCUUCCUUCCUUCACCCUUCCCCUCGCGCCAACGAUACGUCCUCGUAAAAAUGAUAAAUGUCCGGCGGGCAAAGGGUAAAUAACGAUGGCGAAAUGAACGUACGCGUUCGCCGUUUCUGCAUAGAGGGUACAAGAAAAUUACACGUCUCGAAAUAUUUAUUGGCGCAUUAAUUUGGCAACGCGUCUUCAACCCGGACGUGUCCAUUCCGUGACACACGGGAGAAGAGAGGAAGAGAGCAAGAGGGGUAGGAGCGGCAUAAUAAUUCUCGUCGCGUUAUUUAUCCCGUGGCGCGCCCGCGGGCUGAAGUCGCCGGGACGACCCUCUUUUACAGUUUUCUAGAUUACAUGAAUUUCGAGAGCGGCUGUGAGUGCUUUUUAAUAUUUCGCUUCACUUUUAUAUCUGGGCGCGCUCUCGCUCUCUCCCCGUGUGCGUGUACGACACGAUAUCCCUUCACCCCAUCUUCCCCCUUUGCACGCUUUAUCCCUCCCCUCUCUCCCUCCGUCUUCCCGCACGGUCGCGGUCUUUUAUAGCGAAAAUAACACGCACAUACCCUCGGGCCAAAGGGUAAAUAACAAGAGAAUAAAUGCAUGGCACCCGUUUCACAGGUACGCGCAAUAAAAUUCUUUUUCUUCUUUAACUCCCGCCCGCAUACAUAGUUCUAUGUUAAUACCCGGCGUUUCUGCGGAAACCCCUCCCCUCCCCCUUCUCCCGGUGAUAUUCACGGCGUAUCGCGGAUCAACCGGGUGAGAUUAUCUAAAAAUUCGCGCGGCGAUUUUUACAUCCGCGUCUUUUUCAAGUCAAUGAGGUCGUUAUGUUAACAUAGUAAUAAACACCUGUAAUAUUCAUGAGAGCCUUGUUUAUAUAUUCGUACGCAUGUAUAUUGCCGUUUUUAAUAAAGCAGGCUUAUGUUUAGUUUCGCGAAAUUUAAGCGAAGGGGUUCUUUAUCUCACGCCGUCUAAUAUUACCCGGAUAUUCAUUUGCACAGAUAAAGCUGCAUGUAGCUGAAAAGAACGGUUUUGCCGAAGUAUAUCAAAAAGUUUAUAUAGCCGGGGAUAUAAAUCUGAAAAUAAUUAUGUAGCACGCUGUAAUGAAGCUGGUGGAAUGUCAAAACUUUGCAACAUUGCCCAUCAUCCUGGAAAAUCCCUCAUAAUUAUUUUGAUGAUCCAACAAAAUUAAAAUAUUUUCAUAUCUGUAAUUUUCCUUUGAAUACUUUAUUAGUAAAAACCGUUCUUUUGGUGUAAAUACGUUUUCUUUCAAAAUAAAAGGAAAUUGUAGAGAUGGCCGAAGUUACUUUAAACACAAAUUUCAACAAACAAAACGAUCACAGAAAUCUUUUAAGAAUGGAUUCGAUAUCGUUCGGGAAAAAAUGCUAAUAUAUAGCUGCGUACAUAUAACUGUGUUAUAACCAAUUUCAUUUUUAAGAAAUAAAUUCACGAUGUAAUUAGCAGAAUUUUAUUAAAAAAUACUACAAAAAGUCAACAUAAUUCAAUAUAUAAUACACUAAAAUAAAAUAUUUAUUCUUUUCCAGCUUUAAUUCGAUUCGUGGAUUUCAGAAAAUCUCGAAAAUAUUAAAUAAAACGUUUAUUAAUCGCGAUUUAUCGGUGAUAUAGUAAAGAAUAUACUUAUUAAAUUAUAAAGUGCACAUAAAGUUAUUGUAAGAAAUGCAACGAAACAUCUUUCAUUGCUAAUAUAGUAAUAUAAUGCAACAGAAAUCGUCGGGAGACGAUCUUUCGGCGGUAAGAGCCAAAUUAAAUUAAUAUUGCACAAUCCCGCGUCCUAACGACACUGUAUAUCGAGCCGUAAACCUCAAAAACAAUCUCGAUUUUAUUUCUUCGAUAUACCGGCGCAAUCUUCGACAUAUGGUCGUCGAGCCAUCAAUCGCGCAGUAAUAUAUCGAUAGUAUCGAGUUUAAAGACAACGGUUAGGUUAAUUGACCGCGGCAGCGCGCGAGUCGAACGACGAGACGAGACGAGCCGAGGCGGGGAGGGAAGGGGGGGGGGAGGAAGAGAGCAUUUCGUCGCGGGUGAGAUUUACUCGUCUACAGGCGAGGUAUUCAAUUCGUCGCUUAAUCAAUCAAUGCAUUACUGCAUUUAUGCGUAAUAAAUGCGACUGCCCGCCGACGAAUCGAAAAGCUCGUCUUUUUUCGAUCACCUGAAGAUCCGAGAUUUCGAGUAGGGAGAGAGAGAGAGAGAGAGAGAGAGAGAGGGGGGGGGGGAGAUCGAUCAGGCUAAACAACUCGGGCAACUAAUCAACGUCAUCGAUCUAAUUCUCUGUCCUCGUGCCAAUUUCGAACGUCAUAAAUGCAAGAUACCACUUGGCAGUUGGACAAGGAAUCGCCGUCAUAUCGCGCCGUUCGCGUUUCUCGCGUCGCGCGUCACGGUCGUUUCCGCGCGGAAAGGUAAAUAACAACCGAAUGAAAUGUAUACAUACCACCGUCACCGCCGUCACCGCCGUCGCCGCCGCCGCCGCGUCGUCGCCGCCGUCGCUGCAGCAUCAGCCGGGGAUCCGCGACCGCGAGCAAACCGCAAGGCGAAACCGCGCAAAACACACACCGGCCCGGCCGAACGCGACGUUGCGUCGGGUCUCCCACACCUUAACGCGCGGCGCCCUCCGCGCCUCGCACCCAGCGACUCGGCUCGCUCGCGCGUCACGUGACGCUGCGCGGAGGCGCGAAGGUGUCCAUAAUGGCGGUGCGCGAGUGUACGUUGUAUCGGAGAUCACCGGACUGCUACGCACUCGUGCGUGUGCGUGCGUGCGUGCGUGCGCUGAUCGUCGUUGCACGUUACCGUCGUAAGUAGCGCACGUCGUGUAAGAAGCGGGGUAAGAGUAGUCGUCGAGAAUCGUUGUAAUCGAGAGUGUCGAGGCCGGUCGUCGUCCCGACUCGCUCCGGCGCGGCUCAGCGACGAUUUAGACGUCGCGAUAACGCGAGCGGGGUUCAACGCUCGCGCAUUCUGGGAGCGUUAACGGCGGCGGGAACGAUGUCGUUCGCGAGUCGGUUGGUUGCAGCGGGGGAAGCGGAGCGAAGAGUCGUUUUACCUCCGUGCAAGGUGAGGCUCGCAGAGCAACGUUGUAACUUCGAACAACGAGAGGACAAGGAAUUCUUCGCCUUAUAUCCCGCACGACGCAAGACACCCAGGAGAUUACAAGUAAAUGCGAAAACUCUGGGAAUUCUGUAAUACUUUUAAUAAACACGGCCAUGUGCGCUGCACUUUCUUCGCCUUCUUUCAGCAACUCUCAGCCAGUCGAAAGAGUCAUGACACGGUUUAACGGAGAAUUAUAAAAAUUUCUGAGACACUGUUGGACUCCCCGGAGAGAUUUUAUUGCGUGCUUGAAUCACGCUUGUAAUUCUCUUUGACAAAUUAUCUUUAAUCUUUCCACGCGUUAUUAAAAGCAAACAAUUGUUAUAAGUAUUAUAUUUCAUCGACGUGUUGGCUAUUAACAAUAUUAGGCGCAUUCAUUUCUCAACACAACAAUAUUUGCAGUGCCGACGCAUACGCAUAUUUCCCUAUGCAUGUGGGUGUAUAUUUAUACCAAUUUCAAGUCAAAGAGGCGCCGCGUUUUCGCCUGCCGCUUUGGCAGAGAGGCGGAGAGAGUGCUCGGCCCGCAAAAAGUAAUAUUUACAAUGUAGAGCAAUAAACUUUUGGCUUUAUUCGGCCGGUACCGAAAAA